rnacentral:rRNA from 1 species
GAUGAACGCUGGCGGCGUGCCUAAUACAUGCAAGUCGAGCGAACAGAUGAGGAGCUUGCUCCUCUGACGUUAGCGGCGGACGGGUGAGUAACACGUGGAUAACCUACCUAUAAGACUGGGAUAACUUCGGGAAACCGGAGCUAAUACCGGAUAAUAUAUUGAACCGCAUGGUUCAAUAGUGAAAGACGGUUUUGCUGUCACUUAUAGAUGGAUCCGCGCCGCAUUAGCUAGUUGGUAAGGUAACGGCUUACCAAGGCAACGAUGCGUAGCCGACCUGAGAGGGUGAUCGGCAACACUGGCACCGAGACACGGUCCAGACUCCUACGGGAGGCAGCAGUAGGGAAUCUUCCGCAAUGGGCGAAAGCCUGACGGAGCAACGCCGCGUGAGUGAUGAAGGUCUUCGGAUCGUAAAACUCUGUUAUUAGGGAAGAACAAAUGUGUAAGUAACUAUGCACGUCUUGACGGUACCUACUCAGAAAGCCACGGCUAACUACGUG